GAUGAACGCUGGCGGCGUGCCUAAUACAUGCAAGUCGAGCGAACGGACGAGAAGCUUGCUUUUCUGAUGUUAGCGGCGGCCGGGUGAGUAACACGUGGAUAACCUACCUAUAAGACUGGGAUAACUUCGGGAAACCGGAGCUAAUACCGGAUCAUAUUUUGAACCGCAUGGUUCAAAAAUGAAAGACGGUCUUGCUGUCACUUAUCGAUGGAUCCGCGCUGCAUUAGCUAGUUGGUAAGGUAACGGCUUACCAAGGCAACGAUGCAUAGCCGACCUGAGAGGGUGAUCGGCCACACGGGAACUGGGACACGGUCCAGACUCCUACGGGAGGCAGCAGUAGGGAAUCUGCCGCAAUGGGCGAAGGCCUGACGGAGCAACGCCGCGUGAGUGAUGAAGGUCCUCGGAUCGUAAAACUCUGUUAUUAGGGAAGAACAUAUGUGUAAGUAACUGUGCACAUCUUGACGGUACCUAAUCAGAAGGCCACGGCUAACUUCGUG
rnacentral:rRNA from 1 species